UCUGUCGAGGGUGACGCCUAAAUAUUU
rnacentral:sRNA from 1 species